UACAGAGGGGGCAAGCGUUGUUCGGAAUUACUGGGCGUAAAGGGCGCGUAGGCGGCCUUCUAAGUCGAACGUGAAAUCCCUGGGCUCAACCCAGGAACUGCGUCCGAUACUGGGAGGCUUGAAUCCGGGAGAGGGAUGCGGAAUUCCAGGUGUAGCGGUGAAAUGCGUAGAUAUCAAGAGGAACACCUGCGGCGAAGGCGGGUUGCUGGGCCGACACUGACGCUGAGGCGCGAAAGCCAGGGGAGCGAACGGG
rnacentral:rRNA from 1 species